CAGUCGCCGCGGGAAUACGAAGGGGGCUAGCGUUGCUCGGAAUCACUGGGCGUAAAGGGCGCGUAGGCGGACUGAUAAGUCAGGGGUGAAAUCCCAAGGCUCAACCUUGGAACUGCCUUUGAUACUGUUUGUCUUGAGUUCGAGAGAGGUAAGUGGAACUGCGAGCGUAGAGGUGAAAUUCGUAGAUAUUCGCAAGAACACCAGUGGCGAAGGCGGCUUACUGGCUCGAAACUGACACUGAAGCGCGAAAGCGUGGGGAGCAAACAGGAUUAGAUACCCCCGUAGUCCCUGUCUCUUAUAU
rnacentral:rRNA from 1 species